GAUGAACGCUGGCGGCGUGCCUAAUACAUGCAAGUCGAGCGAACAGAUAAGGGGUUGCUUCUUUUGUCGUUGGGGGCGGCGGGGGGGGUAACCUGGGGGAACCUUCCUUUUAGGCUGGAAAAACUCCGGGAACCCGGGGGCUAACCCGGAAUAACUUCUUGACCCGCAUGGUUUUCUGGUGAAAGGCGGCUUUGCGGUAAGUACUGGCGGGCCCGGGGCGUUUUUGGUAGGUGGGUGGGUAACGGCUCACCAAGGCAACGAUUCGUAGCCGACCUGAGAGGGUGAUCGGCCACACUGGAACGGAGACACGGUCCAGACUCCUAAGGGAGGCAGCAGUAGGGAAUCUUCCGCAAUGGGCGAAAGCCUGACGGAGCAACGCCGCGUGAGUGAUGAAGGUCUUCGGAUCGUAAAGCUCUGUUAUUAGGGAAGAACAAAUGCGUAAGUAACUGUGCGCGUCUUGACGGUACCGAAUCAGAAAGCCACGGCUAACUACGUG
rnacentral:rRNA from 1 species